GACCAGGCCUGCCCCGACACGUCCACGGCGGCGGGAGGGGGUUCCUGAUACCCCAGAGACUACUUGGUGCUGAGGGUCUCAGCGUCUUGGACUCCACAGGGCCACACCUUGUGAACUGAAGAGCACAGACUAAGGAUAAUAUAAUUGCUAUUUUAGAAAUAAGCCAGAUGAGAAACAACCAAAGAUAAAAGAGAAGACAAGGCCAGAUGAGGAGACAAGGCCAGUCUCUCAAAAAAGCAACCCCAGCAGAAGACAGAUGCAGAGCCCAUGCUGCUAGGAACAAAAUCAAGGAAUAGAGGCAGCGUGCUCUAGUAGAUAUAGCAGGCUAUCUCAGUGUCUCUUUUGAACAACAGACAGUGAGCUUCUGCUGUGUAUCAGGCCCUGGUUGGCUGGGUCCUAGGAAUACACAGAGGUAAACAGGAAAGAGCCAAGAAAUCGGUCUCCAGGUA